CAUUUUAGCAUACAUGUUGACUCUGGCAGCAAUAUAUAUUCUGUACGUUGCCUAGCUCCAUUCCAACCUAUUCAUACAGGAGUGCUGUGCCUGCUUUGGAACUGCCUUGCGCUAUUUUCACAGAUUUUGACUGAGGUUCCUGGACAGUCUCCUCUAGUUCCCUGGCUUUCCCAGAACUGUGGAUGUAUUCACCUCAGCAAACACCUAUCUAACUGUGCAUUCUCAAGAAACAGCAAAUCGAGCUAUUCACCAAACACCAUCAAGCUUCUACGUCUGCUGCCUUUUGAAUAACAGGUGUAAAUAAAGCAGAAGAGCAAAAGCAGGGGAUGUUUUCUGAAACCUUGCAUGUCCAGCUUUGUUUGAGCUAUUACUUCAGGUAUCUCAACAACAAAAAUUGCUGAAAAAAAACAAAACAAAACAAAAAAAAGCACAGAAAGAAAAGCAAGUGUUUUAUCUUCCCAAUUCAUCUUCCAAGCUACUUCCUUUCUCUAACA
ensembl:lncRNA